rnacentral:rRNA from 1 species
UUAUUCAAAACAUUCGCCUCUUGCUAAACCAAAGUAUAAGAGGUCCCGCCUGCCCUGUGACUAUAUGUUUAACGGCCGCGGUAUUUUGACCGUGCGAAGGUAGCGCAAUCACUUGUCUCUUAAAUGGGGACCUGUAUGAAUGGCAUAACGAGGGCUUGACUGUCUCCUCUUUCAAGUCAAUGAAAUUGAUCUCCCCGUGCAGAAGCGGGGAUAUACACAUAAGACGAGAAGACCCUAUGGAGCUUUAGACACUAAAGCAGAUCAGCAUUAAUACCCCAAACACGGGGCACGAAUAAACUGAACCCUGCCCUAAUGUCUUAGGUUGGGGCGACCGCGGAGAAAUAAAAAACCCCCGCAAGGACCGAAUGUACUACAUUCACAACCAAGAGCGACAGCUCUAAUUAACAGAUACUUCUGACCAAUAAGAUCCGGCAACGCCGAUCAAUGGACCAAGUUACCCUAGGGAUAACAGCGCAAUCUCCUCUUAGAGCCCGUAUCAACGAGGAGGUUUACGACCUCGAUGUUGGAUCAGGACAUCCUAAUGGUGCAGCCGCUAUUAAGGUUCGUUG